rnacentral:rRNA from 1 species
AUUGAACGCUGACUGCAGGCCUAACACAUGCAAGUCGUACGAGUAGCGGACGGGUGAGUAAUGUCUGUGCAACUGCCCGAUGCAGGGUGAUAACUCCUGUAAACGGUAGCUAAUACCGCAUACCAUCGGAUGUGCCCAGAUGGGAUUAGCUAGUAGGUGGGGUAAAGGCUCACCUAGGCGACUAUCCCUAGCUGGUCUGAUAGGAUGACCAGCCACACUGGAACUGCGACACGGUCCAGACGCCUACGGGAGGCAGAAGUGGGGAAUAUUGCAACAGGGGCGAAAGCCUGAUGCAGCCAUGCCGCGGGCAGGAGGAAGGCAUGUGGGUUGUAAAGUACGAUCAGCGUGGAGGCGUUACCUGCAGAAGAAGCACCUGCUAACUCUGCGUCAGCAGCCGCGGUAAUUC